UACGUAGGGGGCAAGCGUUGUCCUGAUUUAUUGGGCGUAAAGAGCGUGUAGGCGGCCACACAGGUCCGCUGUGAAAACUCGAGGCUCAACCUCGAGCUGUCGGUGGAAACCGUGUGGCUAGAGUCCGGAAGAGGAGAGUGGAAUUCCCGGUGUAGCGGUGAAAUGCGCAGAUAUCGGGAAGAACACCCGUGGCGAAGGCGGCUCUCUGGGCCGAUACUGACGCUGAGGAGCGAAAGCGUGGGGAGCGAACAGG
rnacentral:rRNA from 1 species